rnacentral:rRNA from 1 species
CCUACGGGAGGCAGCAGUGGGGGAAUAUUGCACAAUGGGCGAAAGCNUGAUGCAGCGACGCCGCGUGAGGGAUGACGNCNUUCGGGUUGUAAACCUCCUUCAGUAGGGAAGAAGCGAAAGUGACGGUACCUGCAGAAGAAGCACCGGCUAACUACGUGCCAGCAGCCGCGGUAAUACGUAGGGUGCGAGCGUUAUCCGGAAUUAUUGGGCGUAAAGAGCUCGUAGGCGGUUUGUCACGUCUGUCGUGAAAGUCCGGGGCUUAACCCCGGAUCUGCGGUGGGUACGGGCAGACUAGAGUGCAGUAGGGGAGACUGGAAUUCCUGGUGUAGCGGUGGAAUGCGCAGAUAUCAGGAGGAACACCGAUGGCGAAGGCAGGUCUCUGGGCUGUAACUGACGCUGAGGAGCGAAAGCAUGGGGAGCGAACAGGAUUAGAUACCCUGGUAGUCCAUGCCGUAAACGUUGGGCACUAGGUGUGGGGACCAUUCCACGGUUUCCGCGCCGCAGCUAACGCAUUAAGUGCCCCGCCUGGGGAGUACGGCCGCAAGGCUAAAACUCAAAUGAAUUGACGGGG